AACGCUGGCGGCGUGCUUAACCCAUGCAAGUCGAACGGAAAGGCCCUGCUUUUGUGGGGUGCUCGAGUGGCGAACGGGGGGGUAACACGGGAGUAACCUUCCCUUGACUUUGGGAUAACUUCAGGAAACUGGGGCUAAUACCGGAUAGGAGCUCCUGCUGCAUGGUGGGGGGUGGAAAGUUUCGGCGGUUGGGGAUGGACUCGCGGCUUAUCAGCUUGUUGGUGGGGUAGUGGCUUACCAAGGCUUUGACGGGUAGCCGGCCUGAGAGGGUGACCGGCCACAUUGGGACUGAGAUACGGCCCAGACUCCUACGGGAGGCAGCAGUGGGGAAUAUUGCACAAUGGGCGGAAGCCUGAUGCAGCAACGCCGCGUGCGGGAUGACGGCCUUCGGGUUGUAAACCGCUUUCGCCUGUGACGAAGCGUGAGUGACGGUAAUGGGUAAAGAAGCACCGGCUAACUACGUG
rnacentral:rRNA from 1 species